rnacentral:misc_RNA from 1 species
UCGCUACUUGCGUAGGCAGUCCACUUAGAGUGCCCAGCAUUACCUGAUGGCAACUAAGUGUAGGGGUUGCGCUCGUUGCAGGACUUAACCUAACACCUCACGGCACGAGCUGACGACAGCCAUGCAGCACCUGUACUAGACCCCUUGCGGGUAAACGACUUUCAUCGUCUAGAAUCUAGCCUUUCAAGCCCAGGUAAGGUUCUUCGCGUUGCAUCGAAUUAAACCACAUGCUCCACUGCUUGUGCGGGCCCCCGUCAAUUCCUUUGAGUUUCAACCUUGCGAUCGUACUUCCCAGGUGGAAUACUUAAUGCGUUUGCUUAGGCGCCGAAUCUUGCGACCCGACACCGAGUAUUCAUCGUUUAGGGCGUGGACUAC